CAGAAAACAAUAUGAUAUCUCAUAAAAAAAUCUAUCAAUCUUAUUUUCCCGAUAGACAUAAGAUGAGAGUACACAAUGGAAUGGACAAUAAUGUUCCCCAACAAACAUGGAAAAAUUCAAUAGCUGGUACACACUGUUCAUAAACAAUAAUUUCAUAAGUGUGUAAAUGAUAUAUUACCUCCCUUUGCACUUAAUUUCAUAUGCAUUCUAGAAUCAAAAUCUAUAACUAAACAACAAAGUGUAUAUCAAAGUGUAAUAUUCAAAUUACAAGUAUUUUUUUUUCAUCUCUUUUUAUAUGCUACAAACAAAAUAUGAUAAGUUAAUCCUGGUCAGAUGUUCAAUGAUUUAUUUGAAAAAGUAAGAAUCUACUUAAUAUUUGGGAAAUUCAUUGUAACAGGUAAAGGUUGAGCUUCUUAAAUACAUUGAUCGUUAUUUUGAUUUUUUGUUUACUUAAUGCUUUAGUAGAAAAAUACAUUCUGAGUCAUAAAAUGAGUAAAAUGAACUAGAGGUUCUAAAGAUCCUUUAUCUCUUAUCUACAUCAUUAUUAAACAGAUAUCAAAGAACUGCUGAAAAUUAAUAUGCAAAAGGAAAUUAUAUUACAAAGAUAUUGAAAACAGAGUUCUGUCAUACACCAUAUAUUUAUAUCUUUAACAAACAUUUUUACAUUAAGCAAAUGCUGCAUCACAAAACAAAAUAUCAACCUUCUUUGGCAUUUUUACAACCUAUGCGUCCUCUAUCAAAUGUGCAUUUAUGUUGCAGUCUUCAACAAACUGAUUUAAACAACAAAUUCAUAUAAAAGAGAGGACUUUUCUUUUUAAUAUUUAAUUUCAAUGGGUGUUAAUCCUCAUACGAACACAAUUUUUGCAGUCAUAUAUUGGUAUCCCGUUGUUGUCAUCCUUGUUUGAAGACAGUUGGUUUAUGGACAAUAUAGCUUUAGUAUCAGUUCAUAAAAAUCUAUGAAAUUUAAAUACAAGGUUUAUAACCACAAAAGGAAGUUCAGAAUGAUUUUAGGGGUUCUGGUUCCAACAGUUUAGAAAUUAGGGGCAUUUUUGUAGUUUCCUGACAAUAACUUGUGUUUAGUAUGAAUCUCAGUGGAGGAUCCAGAAACAGUAUAGUGUAUUGAAUAUUGAUUAUAAAUUCAAAUCAUAUAACCAAUUAAGUUCUUUGACUACAGUUAUUCUAUGUCAGGGUUGGACCUCUCCAGUUGUAUCCAACUGUGUUCAGCGAAGCAGUGGAUUGAGGUAAAACUAUUUUUUUUGCUGUCAUUUGAUUUCAUUGUUUUAUAAAAGUCAGCAUGGAAGCUUGUAGAAAAAUUGGUUCUUGGAAUGUAUCUGAAAUAUUACUUUACUGAUAUCUACAAAACCAUAUAAUUAGGUACACUAUGACUAUGAAUAUCAAGGAAUCUGAAGUUUUAGACAAAAUUUACACAUUAUGUAACAAAAACAAAAUGUCAUUAGUACAAUAUCAGAGUGAUCCAUCCACUAACACACAAGUUAUUGUCUAGAAACUAGAAAAAAAUAAUCUUUUUUGCCGCUUUUUGUCCCUUAAUCCCUAAACUGUUGGCCCCAUAACCCCGAAAAUGAAUCCCAACCUUCUACUUGUGGUAAUAAUCAUUGUGAUACAAUUUCAGAGCAAUCAAAAUACUAAUUCACAAGUUAUUAUCCUGAAACUAGAAACAUGUUUGUUUUGGGCCCCUAAUUCCUCAGCGGUUGGGAUGAUGACAUCCUCCCCAAAAUCAAUCCCAACCUUCCUUUUGUGGUAUUGAACCUUCAUAUAUAUAAAGUUUCAUAGAGAUCCAUUAUACAUUUCGCAGGAAUAAAAAAUAAUAUAUACAAGUUGUAUUUUGAUCACAAAACAACAAAUAAACUCAAAAUUGAAACCAGAUGCUCCGCAGGGCGCAGCUUUAUACGACCACAGAGGUUGAACCCUGAACGGUUGGGGCAAGUAUGGACACAACUUUCAAGCUGGAUUCAGCUCUAAAUUUGGACUGUGAUUAAAUAGUUGACACAGCAUAGGUUUCUGACACAGAAUGAAUGUGGUCUAAUGAACUUAAAAUGUUUGUUUUGCCUUUGAGCAAUUCACUAUGCUGUUGAAUAUUAAUCCUCUCAAAAAAAUUUAAGAAAUAGCAAUAACUACUUAUUUAAAUACAUCAUAAAAUAUUAAAAUGUAAAAAAAGUGCUUGUUAUCACUGAAUGGUAAAAAUUGUUUUAAUUU
rnacentral:lncRNA from 1 species